rnacentral:rRNA from 1 species
AUUGAACGCUGGCGGCAGGCCUAACACAUGCAAGUCGAACGCGUGGCGGACGGGUGAGUAAUGUCUGGGAAACUGCCUGAUGGAGGGGGAUAACUACUGUCAACGGUAGCUACUACCGCAUACCCUCCUAUGUGCCCAGAUGGGAUUAGCUCGUAGGUGGGGUAACGGCUCACCUAGGCGACGAUCCCUAGCUGGUCUGAGAGGAUGACCAGCCACACUGGGACUGAGACACGGGCCAGACUCCUACGGGAGGAAGCAGGGGGGAAUAUUGCACAAUGGGCGCAAGCCUGAUGCAGCCAUGCCGCGUGUAUGAAGAAGGCCUUCGGGUUGUAAAGUACUUUCAGCGGGGAGGCGUUAACGGCAGAAGAAGCACCGGCUAACUACGUGCCAGCAGCCGCGGUAAUAC